rnacentral:rRNA from 1 species
UAGGGAAUCUUCGGCAAUGGACGCAAGUCUGACCGAGCAACGCCGCGUGAGUGAAGACGGUUUUCGGAUCGUAAAGCUCUGUUGUAGGGGAAGAACGUGUGUAAGAGUGGAAAGCUUACACAGUGACGGUACCCUACCAGAAAGGGACGGCUAACUACGUGCCAGCAGCCGCGGUAAUACGUAGGUCCCGAGCGUUGUCCGGAUUUAUUGGGCGUAAAGGGAGCGCAGGCGGUUUAGUAAGUCUGAAGUUAAAGGCAUUGGCUCAACCAAUGUAUGCUUUGGAAACUGUUAGACUUGAGUGCAGAAGGGGAGAGUGGAAUUCCAUGUGUAGCGGUGAAAUGCGUAGAUAUAUGGAGGAACACCGGUGGCGAAAGCGGCUCUCUGGUCUGUCACUGACGCUGAGGCUCGAAAGCGUGGGUAGCGAACAGGAUUAGAUACCCUGGUAGUCCACGCCGUAAACGCUGAGUGCUAGGUGUUAGGUCCUUUCCGGGACUUAGUGCCGACGCUAACGCAUUAAGCACUCCGCCUGGGGAGUACGACCGCAAGGUUG